CAGCAGCAUAUUCAACCUUAUUGAGUGUGUCUGUCUGUCAUUUCCUCGCCGAUUCCUGAUUUCUCCUAGCCUUCACCCCUGUUCUCCCGCGGUCGGUGGUCUCCACGAGAGGCGGUCCGUGGCAGGUGGCGCCCGAACAGGGACCGAAGGCCAGGUAAUCUUUCUUUCUUUCUCCCUCGAAAUCAGGUACGGCUCUUACCAGGGAACUGCAGUCCCGCCGGUAAAGGAUCACCGGUUAAGAAAACUCUGAGAUCCUAACAGUGACCCAAAGAAGACUAUGGGACACCACGAUGUCUCCGCCUGGAUAACAAUGACGCUGACCACUGGGCAAGACGAUCCCCAGUGCAACACCAGCUGCCAGGACCGGGUCCAGACUAUGGACAAACAGCAGGACCUUGGAAAAUUGAUUGCACCACUUUUACCUACACAAAAUAAGGAUGCCGACUCCCCCAUCUGGAUCCCAGACAGACUCGUCCUGGCGGUCGCUGGAGGUGCAGCGCAGAAAGAGGAAAUGGAGAAAGCAGAAGAAACGGCUGACAUGGCAGAUGAAGAAAAUGAAACUAACUUCGCCGAGAAAUCGGGAAAUGACUUGGACGAAAAUAAAGC